rfam:Candidatus Yanofskybacteria bacterium RIFCSPLOWO2_01_FTLL_43_22 rifcsplowo2_01_scaffold_495, whole genome shotgun sequence.
GGAGACGUGGCUGAGUGGUCUAAAGCGGCACGGUGCUAACGUGUUGAGGGGGAAACUCCUCCGCAGGUUCGAAUCCUGCCGUCUCCG